ACCACGGUGGUCUAGCGGUCAGAACGCUGGCCUUGUAAUCCUGGGGUCUCGGGUUCGAUUCCCGGCGGUG
rnacentral:tRNA from 1 species